rnacentral:rRNA from 1 species
UACGAAGGGGGCUAGCGUUGCUCGGAAUCACUGGGCGUAAAGGGUGCGUAGGCGGGUCUUUAAGUCAGGGGUGAAAUCCUGGAGCUCAACUCCAGAACUGCCUUUGAUACUGAGGAUCUUGAGUAUGGGAGAGGUGAGUGGAACUGCGAGUGUAGAGGUGAAAUUCGUAGAUAUUCGCAAGAACACCAGUGGCGAAGGCGGCUUACUGGUCCGGAACUGACGCUGAGGUGCGAAAGCGUGGGGAGCAAACAGG